ensembl:snoRNA Small nucleolar RNA SNORA13
UGCCUUUUUGUGUUGCCCAUUCUUUGCGUUUCCCUCAAAAGAAUGUGGUGUCAACAAAGGCAUACAGUAGAGACUUGGUUUGGCCUUUACUAGGUAACAGCC